rnacentral:rRNA from 1 species
UACGUAGGGUGCAAGCGUUGUCCGGAAUUACUGGGCGUAAAGGGCGCGUAGGCGGUUCGCUAAGUCGGAUGUGAAAACUCUGGGCUCAACCCAGAGCCUGCAUCCGAAACUGGCGGGCUAGAGUUCUGGAGGGGGUAGCGGAAUUCCUGGUGUAGCGGUGAAAUGCGUAGAUAUCAGGAGGAACACCGGUGGCGAAGGCGGCUACCUGGACAGAAACUGACGCUGAGGCGCGAAAGCUAGGGGAGCAAACAGG